rnacentral:rRNA from 1 species
UAACGCGUGGGCAACCUGCCCCGUACCGGGGGAUAACAGCCGGAAACGGCUGCUAAUACCGCAUAUGCUUUGCGGGCCGCAUAGCCCGCAAAGCAAAACUCCGGUGGUACGGGAUGGGCCCGCGUCUGAUUAGCUGGUUGGCGGGGUAACGGCCCACCAAGGCGACGAUCAGUAGCCGGCCUGAGAGGGCGGCCGGCCACAUUGGGACUGAGACACGGCCCAGACUCCUGCGGGAGGCAGCAGUGGGGAAUAUUGCACAAUGGGGGAAACCCUGAUGCAGCGACGCCGCGUGGGCGAGGAAGUACCUCGGUAUGUAAAGCCCUAUCAGCAGGGAAGAAACAGGACAGUACCUGACUAAGAAGCCCCGGCUAACUACGUGCCAGCAGCCGCGGUAAUACGUAGGGGGCAAGCGUUAUCCGGAUUCACUGGGCGUAAAGGGAGCGCAGGCGGCAUGGCAAGUCUGAUGUGAAAACCCGGGGCCCAACCCCGGGAGUGCAUUGGAAACUGCCAGGCUGGAGUGUCGGAGGGGUAAGUGGAAUUCCUAGUGUAGCGGUGAAAUGCGUAGAUAUUAGGAGGAACACCAGUGGCGAAGGCGGCUUGCUGGGCUUUUACUGACGCUGAGGCUCGAAAGCGUGGGGAGCAAACAGGAUUAGAUACCCUGGUAGUCCACGCUGUAAACGAUGAUUACUAGGUGU